rnacentral:rRNA from 1 species
UACGGAGGGUGCGAGCGUUGUUCGGAAUUAUUGGGCGUAAAGCGCACGUAGGCGGUCUGGUAAGUCUCACUGUGAAAGCCCGGGGCUCAACCCCGGGAGGCCAGGGGAUACUGCCGGACUGGAGACAGGCAGAGGCUGGUGGAAUUCCGGGUGUAGCGGUGGAAUGCGUAGAGAUCCGGAGGAACACCGGAGGCGAAGGCGGCCAGCUGGGCCUGAUCUGACGCUGAGGUGCGAAAGCGUGGGGAGCGAACAGGAUUAGAAACCCCCGUAGUCC